rnacentral:rRNA from 1 species
GACGAACGCUGGCGGCGUGCUUAACACAUGCAAGUCGAACGAUGAAGCUGGAGCUUGCUCCGGUGGAUUAGUGGCGAACGGGUGAGUAACACGUGAGCAAUCUGCCCUUGACUCUGGGAUAACUGCGGGAAACUGUAGCUAAUACCGGAUACUUUCACUGGAAGGCAUAUUCUGGUGAAGAAAGAAUUUCGGUCAAGGAUGAGCUCGCGGCCUAUCAGCUUGUUGGUGAGGUAACGGCUCACCAAGGCGACGACGGGUAGCCGGCCUGAGAGGGUGACCGGCCACACUGGGACUGAGACACGGCCCAGACUCCUACGGGAGGCAGCAGUGGGGAAUAUUGCACAAUGGGCGCAAGCCUGAUGCAGCAACGCCGCGUGAGGGAUGAAGGCCUUCGGGUUGUAAACCUCUUUUAGCAGGGAAGAAGCGAAAGUGACGGUACCUGCAGAAAAAGCACCGGCUAACUACGUGCCAGCAGCAGCCGCAG